CACAGGGUUAGACGAAUAUAUACGCGGCCUGCAAGGAUCUCUGACUUUCUUUGUCCCAGUUGACAGUGCCUUCCAGUUUGAUCAACUGACAUCAGAUUUUCUGACUAAAACCAACAAGGGAAAAGAGAAACUUCGUUCAAUUCUGAAGAAUCAUAUUGUUUCCAAGAAGUUUGAUAUUACAGAUUUGAUAUCACUGUCAAGACUGAAAUCAGAUGAAGGCGAAUCAAACACUAUCAAACGAAGUAGAAACGUA